CUCACUAUUAAUUGAUAACUGGCUGGGACUUUCCACUAGAAGGAGAUGGAAACCCAGUAACGCAUUCCCAGGAGCAACCCUUUCUUUUGAACCAAGUCAACCCUGGGAUUAUGUGUUUGGAGAAAGUCAAAGCACCUUCGGCAAUCACGUGCAGAGCGUGCAGACAUUCAUAAGUAUCCUUGUACUCAAGAACUGUGAAGGAAUUCAUGAAGAGUGGACUGGGAGCUGGGAUUUCAAGAUGGGCUCAGGCCCACACAGUGAACUGGAGAGCCAGAGAAGGCCGAUACAAACCUGUGGAUGUCUGUGGCGUUUUCCAUUCAAGCCUGUUCUCUGCUGGCAGAGUCCCUGUGACCCCAAGAGCCCCACAGGCUCUUCUUCAUCAGAAAACAAGGCACAAGCUCUCAGUGUGCCCAUGAGUAGCCAGACUCCCCUGCAGACCGGCUUAACAGAAGCUAGUUAUUUUCUUUUUGGAUGUUCCCUCUACCUGUUCAAAGACCUUGAAAGCACAAAUAUCAUUUUAUGUGGUUCUUCUAUGCUCCUUCCUCACACUACAUACAAACAAACAUGAGAGAGAGCAAGAGAGAGAGAGAGUCAAUCUCAGAUAGUUGGGCCCUCCUUCUUUGACUAGGUGCUCCCUGUCUCACACAAACACACACACACACACACACACACACACACACACACACACGUAAAACAGCCUGUUCUGGGGUUUGUCUGGUUCCCCUACCUGUGAGGAGAAGCUGAGGGUAUAUGGUCUUAACACCUUAUUUCUAGAAGAAAUUUAACUUUUUUUCUUGAACAUUUACUCUCAGGACGAUAGCCAUAUAAAUAGAACUGAUUUUGAAUAUUAGAAGCAAUAUUAUCUGGGCUUCUUUUUUUAACCCGUGCCAUCUGGCUGGGCCCGCAUCGACACCUACAUAAGCACAUGCUUACACUUGAGGAUAUCUGUGGUCAAAGGGGAAGGUCAGAAAAUGAGAGAAUAGCACACUCCAGAAGUUUUAAAUCAUACUUGAAAAAGAAUUAAUGAAUCGUCCUAAAUUAAGCCAAGCGGCACCAUUGAGAUUUCUGAGGCCAUAUGAAACAUGCCAAUGGUGGCCCAAGUGCCUGCUUCUUUAACAUGAGAGCAACAUAGGGGAAUGAUGCAAAUCGCUUGAAAACGUGCAUUCCUUCUGCUGCAUUGCCCUUUCCAUUUCAUACCUCUGACUUUGCCUAUGUUCUCACGUGCCCUCCAGCGGUAGGAGGACCCCAGCCAGCAAGACUUAAUCUCAGGGAGACCACCACCACUUCAUAUUCCAAGGAUUCUUUCACUCUGCUCUAGCAAGAAAAAAAGAAAAAGAAAGAAAAGAAAAAGCCUGUUCUGCUCUGUGUAACCUGUGUUCAAGGGCUGUGUACAAUAAAGGCCCCAUUCAUAGCCUUUCAUAAUUACUGGUGACCAGAUGACCUUCAUCCAUGAAAAAUGAGAAUAAUUGUGAGUAGUUUUCUGAAACACAAGGGCCCCAACCUCACCCAGCCUUUAUGGACUGAAUUGUCCUCCCUGGAUUCCCCUGUUAAGGCCAUUUAGAGAGUUUUAAGGAGACAAGAAAUGUUAAAGAAGUCAUCAGCUUGUGGUUCUGAUCCAUAAGCACUGGAGAAAAAGAAGGAAAAAAAGCAAGAAGGAAGAGGAGAGAAAAAAAAGGUUUUCAAUAGCUUGCAUGGUUUUGCUUUAGUCUGUUGUGAAAGGACAGGUAUUGAUACAAGAUACCCAAGACCAUGUUCUCAGCAAAAAGGAGAUUUGUUUGCUUCAGAGGAACAAAGAGCAGCAAACAAGAGACAAAGACAGGAGAUAGAGGAUGAGGAAGAAGAGAAAAGGAACAAGGGAGAGGGGGAAGGAAUAUUUGUCCCAGAAGGACAAAGGACUGUCCCUGGAUAGAGAGGAAACAGACGUGGCCCAUAGAAGAGCGACAGUUUACAAAGGUAAAAGGGGGAAACCCCAUGUUAGAAUAAGGUGUUUAAUUUUAAUUGGGCUUGUUAAUUAGGUGAGCCAAAGGGGGAUUUUGAUUGGUAGUCAGAUUCUGGAGAAGGAAGUGGUCAAAUAAGGAAGUAGACCUUGGUGGCUAGCUUUAGGAAUGUAAUCUAACAGUUUUUAGCAGGGAAGAGGGCAUGGAGGAGGGCAAGGCCUGCCCCAGCCACGUUUGCCGUGCUUGGUCCUGCUAGAGACCCUGCAGGUUGAAAAGAUGAACAGGGGAGUUUCUUGAAUAAAACGUGUCCUAGCCCAGCGUCAGGUGAUGCUCACACCUUUUUCAUGAAGAUUCUCUGUGGUUUUGGGUAACUUGAGUUGAAAUGUAAGGCAUACUAUGAUUGACUCGUUCAUAGUGGGUUAAUGACAAAAUCAUUCACUUAUUUGAAACAGAGGUAAUUAGAGACUGGCGCCAUUGGAAAGGGGAGUCUUUCCUUUUUAUUUUAAAAUAUAUUAUAUAUGUGUAUUUCCUGGAAACUAAUCCUUUAGCUUCUUUACAGAUCUCCUAACAACUAGAGGAGGAUAUUAUGCUGUUUCUAUUCCUUUCAAAUCUCAUGAUCCUGGACACAUCUUCGAAAUGGGCUCAGUCGUGGCACUCAUGUCUGAGAUUGGUGUGGUGGUUAAAUGAAACAUUACACUCAAAGCCCAUAAACUAGAUUGAUACCGUU